UUCCCUGUUCCACCUCCACCAAAAUUGGUUUCCUUUAAAAGGAAAAUGCUCAUUUUGGGAGGGAUCUUUUUCUGCUUCAUACUUUCGAGUUGAAAUUUACCGUCCGGGCCGUUGGCCAUAUUUUGUUUUAGAUUAUCCGGAAGUGACCGCCGCCAUUUUGUGGUGAACCCUGACCGAUCCCUGGUUAUUCCGUUCUCCACUUGAGGAUACCCGGAGGCUUUCCACCCCGUCCGCGAAGACCGCACCGCCCCUUUUCCCAAGACUUAGGGGGUGCAGAUUAAGUCUUGGUGGCGCCCGAGUGACCGACCGACCGUCCCCGGUGUAAUAAUUGAAUUGUACAAUUAUAUUAUUGUUCGACAAUUAAAUGAACUUGAAAUAA